CGCCGGGUCCCGAGCAAGGGGGCGGCGUGAACCUGGUCAGGUCCGGAAGGAAGCAGCCAUAAGCGUGCGGCUUCUUGUGCCCGGGGUGCCUGGUGGGU
rnacentral:SRP_RNA from 1 species